rnacentral:rRNA from 1 species
UUUAUGGAGAGUUUGAUCCUGGCUCAGGAUGAACGCUGGCGGCGUGCCUAAUACAUGCAAGUCGAGCGAACGGACGAGAAGCUUGCUUCUCUGAUGUUAGCGGCGGACGGGUGAGUAACACGUGGAUAACCUACCUAUAAGACUGGGAUAACUUCGGGAAACCGGAGCUAAUACCGGAUAAUAUUUUGAACCGCAUGGUUCAAAAGUGAAAGACGGUCUUGCUGUCACUUAUAGAUGGAUCCGCGCUGCAUUAGCUAGUUGGUAAGGUAACGGCUUACCAAGGCAACGAUGCAUAGCCGACCUGAGAGGGUGAUCGGCCACACUGGAACUGAGACACGGUCCAGACUCCUACGGGAG